GCUGGGCAUGGUGGCAUAUGCCUGUAAUCCCAGCAGUUGGGGAGGCUGAGGCAGGAGGAUCCUGAGUUCAAAGCCAGUCUUGGCAACUUUGUGAGUCCCUAAGCAACUCAGCAAGACCCUGUCUCUA
rnacentral:sRNA from 1 species